rnacentral:rRNA from 1 species
CCCUAUGGAAGGUCUGCAAAAAUCCUGGCCAGGUCGAAGGAAAUCCUUUUACAGGAGAGUCUGAGUGAACUGUACAGGGUCAUAAAGCCCGGCUGCCGCAUGGCCAUAGUCGCAGACCGGCCUCUUGAGAGCCUGCUUCAUUCCGCCGGCUUUGAUAUCAUUGAGGCGCAUACGGACCGCGUGCACAGAAGCCUGGUCCGACAUAUCUUCCUCUGCAAAAUAGCGAGAAAAGGUAGCUUUUAAUAGUUAUCUUUGUUUACCUUGACCUAUGCAAUCUCCGGGUGAUAAAGACGAUCUGGCUGAGGAGGAGCUGAAGUCAUUUACCCGUUCCUCGAUAAGGACGAAGGGCAUGCUCACCCUGCUGGAGGGCGGCAAGACGGCGGGAGGGC